rnacentral:rRNA from 1 species
GCGGAGGGAUCAUUACCGAGUUUACACUCAUAACCCUUUGUGAACAUUAUAACUUGUUGCUUCGGCGGCUUCUCCGGGAGCCCGCCGGCGUUUCAGUAUCUCUGUUUGUACCCGACGAUACAUCUGAGUGUUCUUAGCGAACUAUAAAAACUUUUAACAACGGAUCUCUUGGUUCUAGCAUCGAUGAAGAACGCAGCGAAACGCGAUAUGUAAUGUGAAUUGCAGAAUUCAGUGAAUCAUCGAAUCUUUGAACGCACAUUGCGCCUUCCAGUAUUCUGGGAGGCAUGCCUGUCCGAGCGUCGUUUCAACCCUCAAGCCCUCGUGGUUUGGUGUUGGAGUCCUACAGUCUUGUAGUCUCCCAAAACCAGUGGCGGACCCGUCGCGGCCCUUCCUUUGCGUAGUAGCAUUCGCCUCGCAUCGGGAGCCCACGGGACUUUCUGGCCUCUAAACCCCCCACAAGUCCGCUCCGGCGGCACAAGGUUGACCUCGGAUCAGGUAGGAAUACCCGCUGAACUUAAGCAU